rnacentral:rRNA from 1 species
ACAGCAGGACGGUGGACAUGGAAGUUGUCAUCCGCUAAGGAGUGUGUAACAACUCACCUGCCGAAGCAAUUAGCCCUKAAAAUGGAUGGCGCUMAAG